rnacentral:rRNA from 1 species
GACGAACGCUGGCGGCGUGCUUAACACAUGCAAGUGGAACGGAAAGGCCCUGCUUUUGUGGGGUGCUCGAGUGGCGAACGGGUGAGUAACACGUGAGUAACCUGCCCUUGACUUUGGGAUAACUUCAGGAAACUGGGGCUAAUACCGGAUAGGAGCUCCUGCUGCAUGGUGGGGGUUGGAAAGUUUCGGCGGUUGGGGAUGGACUCGCGGCUUAUCAGCUUGUUGGUGGGGUAGUGGCUUACCAAGGCUUUGACGGGUAGCCGGCCUGAGAGGGUGACCGGCCACAUUGGGACUGAGAUACGGCCCAGACUCCUACGGGAGGCAGCAGUGGGGAAUAUUGCACAAUGGGCGGAAGCCUGAUGCAGCAACGCCGCGUGCGGGAUGACGGCCUUCGGGUUGUAAACCGCUUCCGCCUGUGACGAAGCGUGAGUGACGGUAAUGGGUAAAGAAGCACCGGCUAACUACGUG